CCUACGGGCGGCAGCAGUGGGGAAUAUUGGACAAUGGGGGGAACCCUGAUCCAGCCAUGCCGCGUGUGUGAAGAAGGCCCUCGGGUUGUAAAGCACUUUCAGUGAUGAAGAACGCCUGGUGGUUAAUACCCAUCAGGAAAGACAUCACUCACAGAAGAAGCACCGGCUAACUCCGUGCCAGCAGCCGCGGUAAUACGGAGGGUGCGAGCGUUAAUCGGAAUUACUGGGCGUAAAGCGCGCGUAGGUGGCUUGAUAAGCCGGUUGUGAAAGCCCCGGGCUCAACCUGGGAACGGCAUCCGGAACUGUCAAGCUAGAGUGCAGGAGAGGAAGGUAGAAUUCCCGGUGUAGCGGUGAAAUGCGUAGAGAUCGGGAGGAAUACCAGUGGCGAAGGCGGCCUUCUGGACUGACACUGACACUGAGGUGCGAAAGCGUGGGUAGCAAACAGGAUUAGAUACCCUGGUAGUC
rnacentral:rRNA from 1 species